rnacentral:rRNA from 1 species
GAUGAACGCUGGCGGCGUGCCUAAUACAUGCAAGUCGAGCGAACAGACGAGGAGCUUGCUCCUCUGACGUUAGCGGCGGACGGGUGAGUAACACGUGGAUAACCUACCUAUAAGACUGGGAUAACUUCGGGAAACCGGAGCUAAUACGGAUAAUAUAUUGAACCGCAUGGUUCAAUAGUGAAAGACGGUUUUGCUGUCACUUAUAGAUGGAUCCGCGCCGCAUUAGCUAGUUGGUAAGGUAACGGCUUACCAAGGCAACGAUGCGUAGCCGACCUGAGAGGGUGAUCGGCCACACUGGAACUGAGACACGGUCCAGACUCCUACGGGAGGCAGCAGUAGGGAAUCUUCCGCAAUGGGCGAAAGCUUGACGGAGCAACGCCGCGUGAGUGAUGAAGGUCUUCGGAUCGUAAAACUCUGUUAUUAGGGAAGAACAAAUGUGUAAGUAACUAUGCACGUCUUGACGGUACCUAAUCAGAAAGCCACGGCUAACUACGUG